UACGAAGGGGGCUAGCGUUGCUCGGAAUCACUGGGCGUAAAGGCGCACGUAGGCGGGCUUUUAGUUCAGGGGUGAAAUCCUGGAGCUCAACUCCAGAACUGCCUUUGAUACUGAGGAUCUUGAGUUCGGGAGAGGUGAGUGGAACUGCGAGUGUAGAGGUGAAAUUCGUAGAUAUUCGCAAGAACACCAGUGGCGAAGGCGGCUCACUGGCCCGAUACUGACGCUGAGGCACGAAAGCGUGGGGAGCAAACAGG
rnacentral:rRNA from 1 species